CACUGAGCUGAAGAAAGGAAGUAAGAAGAAAGAGACUCAAAGUUGAAGGCUUCAAUGGCGUGCCUUGUGUCCAUGACCCUCUCUGUACCUCUCUCAGCUUCACUUUGGUUCACAAAGGAAAUACCUCCGAGAAAAUCAGUUUUUGUUGGACUUUCAAGCCAACCAACUUCAGGAACAGAACCUCUCAAGGUUCGAAAUCGUAUGUCAGGUUGGGGUGUUCCAACACGAGUCCAGUGUGAAGGGUAACUUCAGCCCAAGUUUGCUGAUUUUUGAGGAAGUUAGAAUCUCUUCAAGCUGCAAAGCCUUCUGCCUCCUGCAGGACAAAUACAGGCAUAUCGUCUUUGAAUUGGAGUUGUCAAGAUCAUCUUUUAACCCCCUCAAAACCUCAUUUUGAAAGAAUGUAUUGUUGUAUCAAUGUAGAUUCUUGUAGCUACAUGAUCAUAUCUGGUUAUUGGGUAGGACCUGAUAUUGAUGAUGGUUGGGGAUAUGUGGAAGCUUUUGUUAAUCCAAUUACUUGAGCAUUUUUCUCCAUUCCAUUAGUUUUUUUUUU